AGAACAAGUGCCAUAGUAACUGAUGGCACCUUGACGGUACCUGACCAGAAAGCCACGGCUAACUACGUGCCAGCAGCCGCGGUAAUACGUAGGUGGCAAGCGUUGUCCGGAAUUAUUGGGCGUAAAGCGCGCGCAGGCGGUCCUUUAAGUCUGAUGUGAAAGCCCACGGCUCAACCGUGGAGGGUCAUUGGAAACUGGGGGACUUGAGUGCAGAAGAGGAAAGUGGAAUUCCACGUGUAGCGGUGAAAUGCGUAGAGAUGUGGAGGAACACCAGUGGCGAAGGCGACUUUCUGGUCUGUAACUGACGCUGAGGCGCGAAAGCGUGGGGAGCAAACAGGAUUAGAUACCCUGGUAGUCCACGCCGUAAACGAUGAGUGCUAAGUGUUAGAGGGUUUCCGCCCUUUAGUGCUGCAGCUAACGCAUUAAGCACUCCGCCUGGGGAGUACGGCCGCAAGGCUGAAACUCAAAGGAAUUGACGG
rnacentral:rRNA from 1 species